ensembl:lncRNA
CUCAACCUUUGCUACUGGGUCUAUGGCUUCUUCCUGUUGUGCUCACAGUCUCUCUCUCCUCACCAGAGGGCUUCUUGAAUUUCAGCUCUUUAAUCAGCUGAAAAUAGCUGCACAUAUCAGGACAGAAAAUGUUCAGCAUGCCACACCGAACUUGGGUUGGCCGGCCAUAAUGAAUUUGUCCAAUGACUGGCACAAUAUGGAGAACUACACUGCAGUGAAGAUGAGGAAGAGGAGAGUGAAAAAGACGGUCAAGAGGCAAGGAAGAAGAGAGGGAGAGAGGAAGAAGAAGGAUGUUUCAAAGAUAAUGAUGAGAAGAAACCUCCAACACGUAUCCAAAUGUUUUUCUGGGAUACACAGAUCGUGUUCAUGAAGUCCCCACCCACGUGACCCACGGGCACCAGGGUUUCGUGAGUCACAAGCAACAAUCUUUGUGUUUCUUUUACUCGUUUGGAUCGCCCCGGAAAAAAUCAGUUCGCUUUACCCACCUCUCAAAAAGUGUCUGCAGGCCACUAUUCAGUCAUUCAACAAAUAUAUAUUGACUCAAUAAAUAUUUAAAAAUUUUUUCA